GAUAUGAAUGGGAUUUUAGCACAUUAAACUAAAAAGAUGUGCAGAAAUUUGCAGUUCUACGGGGAUUAUGUCAUAAGGUGGGAAUUGAGCUAGUUCCAAGGGAUUUUGAUAUGGAUUCUCCAUACCCUUUCCAAAAACUUGACGUUAUUAGCUUGGUACCAGUGCAUAAGCAAGCAGCAUGCUCAUCUGCAGAUGGACGACAACUUCUAGAAUCAUAAAAACA